GACGAACGCUGGCGGCGUGCUUAACACAUGCCAGUCGAACGGAAAGGCCCUGCUUGCAGGGUACUCGAGUGGCGAACGGGUGAGUAACACGUGGGUGAUCUGCCCUGCACUUCGGGAUAAGCUUGGGAAACUGGGUCUAAUACCGGAUAGGAGCCAUCCUUAGUGUGGUGGUUGGAAAGUUUUUUCGGUGUAGGAUGAGCUCGCGGCCUAUCAGCUUGUUGGUGGGGUAAUGGCCUACCAAGGCGGCGACGGGUAGCCGGCCUGAGAGGGUGUACGGCCACAUUGGGGCUGAGAUACGGCCCAGACUCCUACGGGAGGCAGCAGUGGGGAAUAUUGCACAAUGGGCGCAAGACUGAUGCAGCGACGCCGCGUGGGGGAUGAAGGCCUUCGGGUUGUAAACUCCUUUCGCUAGGGACGAAGCGUUUUUGUGACGGUACCUAGAUAAGAAGCACCGGCUAACUACGUG
rnacentral:rRNA from 1 species